UGUGUAUAUCUGUAAAAAAUAAAUGCUGGAUACAGGCAUAGUUUGUUCUCUCAUGUUUUGUAUUUCUCCAGCUUUCCAUCAAGAAGAUAUACCAUCCGACGAAUAUGGAACUGUUUAAUUCAAGAUGCAUAGAUUCAAAGCCUUAACAGGCAAGGUCAAGGAGCAGCUUACCCUCUCGUCUCCGUCAGUCCGCAUGGAGUUAUGAAUGGAUUUGAUAGGGAACGCAGACGACAGACUGGCGGCAACAUCACGGCGAUGUCAUGGUACGUCUUUGUCAGGGGUGCUGGUUGACAAGAGCCUCGGACAACAGGAUACAAAUCAAAAGGUACUUUAAAUACAAAAACCAAAAGGAAAACAAGGAACCAUGAACACACCACUAGGUAACAUUAACAAUACUGGACAAAGAACUAAGGAACACACAGGGCUUAAAUACAUAAGGAAGACACUCCGGGAAAACAGGAUCAGGUGCGGGACUAAUCAACAAAGAUGAGGGACAGGUGAAAAGACAUGAACUCAUCAUGAAACAAGUGAAAACAGGCAAGGAAACA